rnacentral:rRNA from 1 species
AUACGAAGGGGGCUAGCGUUGUUCGGAAUUACUGGGCGUAAAGCGCGCGUAGGCGGACUGAUCAGUUGGGGGUGAAAUCCCAGGGCUUAACCCUGGAACUGCCUCCAAUACUGUCAGUCUUGAGUUCGGGAGAGGUGAGUGGAAUUCCUAGUGUAGAGGUGAAAUUCGUAGAUGUUAGGAAGAACACCAGUGGCGAAGGCGGCUCACUGGCCCGAUACUGACGCUGAGGCGCGAAAGCGUGGGGAGCAAACAGGAUUAGAAACCCUAGUAGUCC